GGAANGGUGGCCNANUGGUUUUAAANGCACCCGGUCUUGAAAAACGGGCGUUGCCUGCAAGGGUUACCGUGGGGUUUCGAAUCC
rnacentral:tRNA from 1 species